ensembl:lncRNA
CAGACCUCGUAGAGGUUCCAAUGAACUUAAAACACCUGAGUUUCCCAAUGUGUUCUCAGCUUGUUAUAAUUCUAGACAAAGGGGAGUAGCAAUUUUAAUACAUAAAAAUAUUAAUUUCACAGUACUCGAUACAGUUAUAGAUCCAGAGGGCAGAUUCUUAAUCAUUAAACUAUCUAUACUUGAUAAAAAGCUAUGUAUUGCAAGUGUAUAUGGUCCAAAUGUUGAUGAUCCCUCAUUCUUUCACGGUUUUUUCAGUGCACUCUCUGAACACUUAGAUGGCACACUUGUUCUUGGCGGUGACCUCAACCUUGGACUAAAUGAAGACAUGGAUAGGCUCAACACAGCGGGAACUCAGCGUAAUUGGCAGUCCACAAAUAUAAUCAAACAGUAUAUGAGCGACUUUGGUCUUUGCGAUGCAUGGCGCUCCCUUCACCCCACCAGUAAGGAAUAUACUUUUUUCUCACAUGUUCAUCACUCCUACUCUCGUCUGGAUUAUUUUUUGCUGUCAGCGAUCAUGGUCCUGUAUCUUUAACACUAAUGCACAAGAAUAAUACUACGCCAAGUAAAAACUGGAGAUUUAAUAUAUCACUACUUAAAGAUGAAGACUUUAUUAAAUAUUUUAAAAAAGAGUGGACUUCAUAUUUGGACUAUAAUGACACUCCCGGAACAUCAGCUUCUGUUCUAUGGGAAGCAGGGAAAGCUGUGAUGAGAGGUAAAAUAAUUUCUUUCUCAUCACACAAAAAGAAAGAAGAAAACAAAAAUAUUCAGGAAUUAGAAAAAAACCAUCAAAUCACUAGAAGAAGCCUACGCGUCCCACCAAGAUCAGGAAACAUUGAACAAAAUACGCAAAACAAAACUAGAAUUAAAUGAGAUAAUUGAUAAAAAAAAACAAAAUUCUUAGUACAAAGACUAGGCCUACAAAAUUAUGAACAUGGUAAUAAAUCCGGUCAAUUUCUAGCAAACCAGCUAAAAAUAAAUAAAGAAAAAACAAAUAUAUGUGCUGUUCAAGAUUCAUCUGGGAACACAAUAUAUGAACCGAUACAAAUAAACAACAUUUUCAGGGAUUUCUAUAAAACGUUGUAUUCACCACAAAUAAACCCAUCUAAAAAAGAAAUUGAUCAGUUUUUAGACAACAUAACUCUUCCAAAAUUAUUGGACACUCAAGCAAUGGCACUGGAUUCACCACUGACACCAGGUGAACUCCAGGAAGCUCUGAUAAGUAUGCCCAAUAAUAAGGCUCCAGGUCCAGACGGCUUUCCUGCAGAAUUCUACAAAGAAUUCUGGUCGAUUCUAGCACCAGUUUUCUACAGAACCUUGUUGGAAAUUAAAGAAAAGGGCAGACUUCCAUCAAAUAUGAAUUCUGCAAACAUUAAUCUCCUGCUAAAACCAGGCAAAGACCCUGUAUAUCCCUCAAGCUAUCGUCCAAUAUCCCUUAUAAAUGUUGACCUUAAAAUAAUC